rnacentral:misc_RNA from 1 species
GACGCUUCGUGAGACGCUUGCACGUCGUCCUAUUAAUAACGUCUCUCGAUUUUCGAAACAAACCUACUGUUUUCAUUCAUUAUUUGAUAAUACGCACGAGAAUAUGGGUCUAUAUCCGUAAACCAUCCUGUAUUUUAGCAUUUUUUCUAACCGGUAACAAUGAGAAAGGGUGUUGCUGAAUCAAAGACUAUAAAGGAAGAAACUCUGGAAAAAGAAGGCACCUUCGUUGAAGCUCCACGUAUCAAAACAUCUAAAGGUGUGACUGUUACUAAAGAACGUUGCAAAACGCCAGACUCACCAGAAGGUGCCAAGCAAGCUACAACUCCCCAUUCUCCACCACAUUCAUCCCCACCAUCGCAAAACGUCAAUUCUCCCCUAUGCAACGGCAACACCGAUAGUUCAACACCACCCCCACCAUUGCCAGCAGCCACUGCUUUGUCACUGUCUCUGGACACAUCCAGAUCCAUAGCGGACCUCCAGUAUGGAACAUUAGGUGGAGGGUUUCCACCAGGAAGACAGCUGACGAAAGUCAAAAAGUUUUUAAGUACCCUAGUGCAGUUUGGUAAUGAUAUCAAUCAGGAUGUUGGAGACAGAGUCAAGACUCUCGUGCUUAACUUAGUAAGUUCAAAUUUAACUAUAGAGGAGUUUCACCACUCCUUGCAAGAUGUAACAAAUUUUCCACUAAGGCCAUUUGUACUGCCUUUUUUGAAAGCUCACAUGCCCAUGCUUCAAAGGGAGUUACACGCUUUGGCAAGGAUAAAUAAACAGUCGGCUCUACAAUAUAUACGCUCUCAUGACAACAUUAUUUUGGAUACUGCACAUUCCCCUUCUGAGGCCUCCGAGAUCUUCAUGCCAAACGACAACACACCAUUGGCAGGUGUCAAAAGAAGGUCAUCCGAAGGAGCAUACGAAAAUGGCGUUAACGGAAACCAACCAACACCAGAAGACUACCUAUCUCCAUCCAAACGUCCCACACCCUUUCUUUUUUCCCAUCAUCAGAAUAUCUUCCUGCCCAACGUUCAAAAUGCCCAUUUGUUCGACUACCAAUCUUCUGCCCAAUCUGCAAUCAAACUGGAGGACCCCACGGUUAAUAGAGGUGACGAAGAAUGGAAGAACAUCCACGUUAUGCUCAAUUGUAUUCUUUCCAUGGUAGAGAAAACAAAAAGGGCUUUGACAAUACUGCAACAAAGAAAUCCGACCAUUUCACAAGAUCCAACCACUGAAUGGCUGAAGAAACAAGAUUUGAGUCAAGAUCUUAAGAAAGCAGCUAAUGAUAUACUUAGUGCAGCAGUUAGGGCUGCUGAGGAACGCGUUGCUGAGGUUAGACGUAAAGCUGAAGAAGCUGUAGGAGAUGUGAAAAAACAGGCUGUUUUAGAGUUACAGAGGGCUGUAGCCGCAGCUGAAGCUAGAGCAGGAGAGUUGCUUGCAGCUGAGAGGGCCAGAGUUGAGAAAACUCUAGGAGAGGCCAGGAAGCAUUCUGAAGAAGCUAAUCCAAAUCACACUGAAUUUGGUGAAAAUAGCCAGUCACCUUCUAGUCAGCCAGCACCAUCUCAACAAAAUGCUUGUUGGAAUUGCGGUAGGAAAGCUCACGACACAUGCUCUGGAUGCAGUUUAGCCCGAUAUUGUGGACCUUUCUGUCAACACAAAGACUGGGAAAAUCAUCACCAAAUAUGUAACAAGGAAAAACGUCCUAGUCUGGCAACAGUGUCCAUUCCACCAACGCCAGUACCAGUGGCGUUGCCAAAUGGCGAUGCGCGGGUUAAAAAGUGACACAUAAAGAAAAGCCGAAAAUUUAGAAAAUUUUACUGAAAAUGUAAACGGAGAGAGGAUAACUGGUAUGUGAUUCGGGUAAAAGCCAAAAAUGCAAUAUUGAUAUUUUGUUAGAACACGUAAUAGGUGGUAUUCUAUGUUAU